rnacentral:tRNA from 1 species
GGGGAUGUAGCUCAAAUGGAAGAGCGCUCGCUUAGCAUGUGAGAGGCACUGGGAUCGACGCCCAGCUUCUCCA